GGAAAGAUGGCUGAGCUGGUCGAAGGCGCACGACUGGAAAUCGUGUGAACGCUAAUACCGUUCCGGGAGUUCGAAUCUCCCUCUUUCCGCCA
rnacentral:tRNA from 1 species